ACGCCCAUGUGAGCGGCCGCGAGCGCUGGGAGGACGGACCCAGCGGUCGAUGACAGGGCCUGGCGCGGUUCGCUUUUCCUGGGUGACUGUGUUCGUGGGGCUGAGGCCCUCGAGGUGCCCACUUCCAGCUUUCCACCAAUUACUGCACUGUCUUUCCGUUUCCUGCCCCGCUGACGCGUACACCUAUUUCAGACUCAGCGCAGCUCCGCGGGGAGAAAAGUGCGGGGCUCCCUCUCGGCUCCACACCAGACUCCGGAGUAGUUCGAACUGCGCUGGGGUCGCCAAGACGCGCGCUGCCCUUCUCCCAGCACUGCCCUCCCCAGCGUCUUUGACCACUCUUAAUACCCACAAACUUGAUCGGACAAUUUCUGGUGUGUCCAGCCAUGUGUCACGUACUGGGAAUACAAAAUAGAAUGAGGCAAGCUCCCUGACCUCAAAGAUUUCAGAGUUCAGUUGGAGAAAUCGACAGAAUCUGGGGUUUGCUUCUCACGCAAGAUUUUCAACAGCCUCAAUUGGUCUCUCUACUUCCGUUGUUGCAUUUCUAUGAUAUGUUGCCCGCACAACAAUCAAAAUGAUCUUUUUAGUUAGUUUGGAGCUUUGGUUUGUCAAGGAAUUAUGAGUCAACCAUCAAUAUUUGAACUAAAAGAAACAAAACUGGGCCAGGCACCGUGGUUCACACCUGGAAACCCAACACUCUGGGAGGCUGAGGUGGGGAUAUUGCUUAUACUCAGGAAUUGGAGACCAGCCUGGGCAACAUGGCGAAACCUCAUCUCUCCAAAAAUACAAAACUUAGCCAGGUGUGGUGACAUGCGCCUGUAGCCCCAGCUGAGGUGGGAGAAUCACUUGAGCCCAGGAAAUAGAAGCUGCAGUCAGCCGUGAUUGCACCACUGCACUCCAGCCUGUGUGACAUAGCAAGACCCUGCCUCAAAAAAAAUAAAAAUAAAAAAAAGCAACGAAACUGGAUUUACUGUGUACUCUAAUAAGGAAAAGCUAUGCUGGGUCGGCACAGUCUCCCCAAGCAGAGCUGGCUGCUGAUGCUCUAUGGAGCUUUGGGGAAUACAGAGUUCAGGAAUAGGUGCAUUUCAGAGGCAAAAGGGUUUGCCAUCACCUGUAGAAGAGUAGAUAUUCUGGUAAGACUGUUAUUAAUUCUCCACUGAAUUUAUUGGAGUGAACCUGUCAUUGGCUGACUUUGAGAAAGGAGGGGUUUUUCAAAACAAGUUUUACUGAGGCAGUUGAUUAAUUGAAUGGGUUUAAAACUGGUUCUAGGAGUGUGGAAACUUGCUUUAAUUCUCAGGGCUUCAAAAAAU
rnacentral:lncRNA from 1 species